CUUCAAUUCUUUUUUUUUUUUUUUUUUAGGAUGGGUGCUUUUAAAUUGACAGUUAACAUUCUUGGAAGCAACAGUUUAACAACAGAUGGGUAAUAUAACAACAACAGAUAUAAAUGAUGCAUUUAUAAAUGAUUAACAACAGAUAUAAAUGAUGCAUUGCUUAAAGUAUAACACACAGUAUACUUGAUUACAAAUUAUAUCCAGUCUAUAAAAAUUGAAUACAUACUGUAUUUUAAUAAUCACAACAGGUCAGCUGUUUUUCUGGAGUAUGUUUCAAACAGAAUUGGCAUAUAACCCACACAUAACAGUAUUGCUGUGAUUUUUAGCUAUUUUAUUUAAGGGUCCAAAAUACAUUGGGUUCAUGAAAUAACACUAUUUGUGAAUGUUCACCAGUUUUUUAUUUAUAUUCCUUCAAAAACACUCCAUACUGGUCUUCAUUUCUUUAUGGUAUUUUUUGAUUCCUAGCAGUUCUUAUUGUUUCUUAGAAUUUCUGUUGCUGCUUAUAUUACCCAUCUGUUCUUGCAUGUUGUCUACUUUUGCCAUUAGUUCCUUAUGCACAUGAAGGUACAGUUACUCUGAAUUCAUGGGGUGAUAAUUCCAACCUUCCCGACGUAUAAGCACCCCCCCUGCCCCCAUGUAGUACACCUUGUAAUGUUGCUGUUGGAAGCCAGUCCUGACAUGUUGGGUGCAAGGAGGUAUGGUAGGUAGGUCUGUAGUGAUGGAUGAUAGGAUGGUAAGCAGCAGAAGAGACCUGUGAUCAGGGCUCUGUCUUUCAGUGACUCUGGGCCUUUGGGCUGCAUACUACACUGCUGCUUUUCAGCUUCUUUUUUUUUUUUUUUAAUCAAGGAUCGAACUCAGGUCCUUGUGCUUGCAAGGCAGGCACCGGAACCACUGAGCUAAAUCUCCGGCUCAGCUUUACUUUUUUAGGUGGGACUGGAUGGUUAGAGGGGGCUGUAUUUUGAUAUUUACUUUCCCCAGGUUUGUUAGGCUCCAAUAAAACCCCAGUCAGUUAGGCUCUGGUAAAAUAGUUUUGUUUGAGGCCAGGCCUUGUUAUGAUCAGAAUGUUCUGAAAUAUUUCAAAAUUAUACCAUUGCUUUCCUCUCCCCUUAUACAUUAAUGUUUUUCCUUCUCCUAUUGAGAGCCAGGGGAUUUUUCUUUUCUUAUCUUGGCUAGGAUGACUUGGUGGAGCUCCUGGAGGCCCACAAGUGUGGGCACCCUCCCUAAUAGCUGCCCUCCUGGAACUGUAACUCUCAGGCCUGAGCCCAUUGAACCUCCACUAACUCAUCCCACGGUGGUGCUGGGUCCUACAGAUUCCUGCCCCUGGAUUUCUGCUCUGGAAGUACCGUGAGGGCAGGUUCGCCGGAAGGGUACAUCUUGAGCUUGUAACAGCAUCCAGCCCUGUUCUGUGGAAUUUUAAAAGGAGGAAAAGAAGCUUUUAUUUUCACAAUAAUGCGCACCUGAAUUAAGUAAAAGUGGAUUAAAAAAUCCGAUUGGUGUGGUGGCACAUGCCUGUAAUCCCAGCGCUUCGGAGGAGGUUGAGGCAGGAGGAUCAACGGGAGUUCCAGGCCAGCCUGGGCUACAGAGCGAGUCCCUAUCUCAAAACAACAACAACAACAACAACACCAAAUAAAAACCAAAAGCCCAAAAUCCCAUUUGAAUUUUGGAUUUUUAAAUUUCUUCUUUCACAUGUAUAAAUUUAUGCUUGAGUAUAAAAACUUACGAGUUAUGUCUUCUUGAGUGAAUUUUAACUUUUAUUAAUAAGAGAAGUUUUUAUGUCCCUUUAUACU